AACAAUGAAGCGAGUGGCGAACUGGUGAGUAACACGUGGGAAAUCUGCCCAGAAGCAGGGGAUAACACUUGGAAACAGGUGCUAAUACCGUAUAACAACUACUUUCACAUGAUCGUAGCUUGAAAGAUGGCUCUGCUAUCGCUUUUGGAUGGACCCGCGGCGUAUUAGCUAGUUGGUGAGGUAAUAGCUCACCAAGGCAAUGAUACGUAGCCGACCUGAGAGGGUAAUCGGCCACAUUGGGACUGAGACACGGCCCAAACUCC
rnacentral:rRNA from 1 species